CCUACGGGGGGCACCAGUGGGGAAUAUUGCACAAUGGGCGCAAGCCUGAUGCAGCCAUGCCGCGUGUAUGAAGAAGGCCCUAGGGUUGUAAAGUACUUUCAGUCGGGAGGAAGGCGUUGAUGUUAAUAUCAUCAACGAUUGACGUUACCGACAGAAGAAGCACCGGCUAACACCGUGCCAGCAGCCGCGGUAAUACGGGGGGUGCAAGAGUUAAUCGGAAUUACUGGGCGUAAAGCGCACGCAGGCGGUUGAUUAAGUUAGAUGUGAAAUCCCCGGGCUUAACCUGGGAAUGGCAUCUAAGACUGGUCAGCUAGAGUCUUGUAGAGGGGGGUGGAAUUCCAUGUGUAGCGGUGAAAUGCAUAGAGAUGUGGAGGAAUACCGGUGGCGAAGGCGGCCCCCUGGACAAAGACUGACGCUCAGGUGCGAAAGCGUGGGGAGCAAACAGGAUUAGAUACCCCCGUAGUC
rnacentral:rRNA from 1 species